rnacentral:rRNA from 1 species
CGCUCCUACCGAUUGAGUGAUCCGGUGAAUAAUUCGGACUGCUGCAUAAUCCAGUUCCUGGGUGUAUGCGGUGGAAAGUCUAGUGAACCUUAUCACUUAGAGGAAGGAGAAGUCGUAACAAGGUUUCCGUAGGUGAACCUGCGGA